CUAGGGCCCGGGGUCCUAGGUUUCUAUGACGACGCAAGGCAUUCUGAGAAAAGUUGUGGCUGCCGGCGCCCGGCGGGAAACACAUUUUGCUGGUACAGCUUUCGAGUGUCCAUUUCCUUUCGGUUUAAAUGAAGAAACGAUGAAAGCCCUAGCGCUGCCAGACCCCUGAGUCCGCGAGGGCACUGCUUGUGGGAGAGGUUGGAGUCCCUGACUGCCUAGAGCGCGCCACCGAGCUGCCGGCUGCCAGUGCUUAGGGUCAGCGGGUAGGGUGUGCGGGUGUGUCCUUCCCGGCCUCUGCUGGGACCCUGAGGCACGUGCAAGCUUCUGAGUCAGGACAGAUGGGCUGAGAGAUUACAGAGGUUUCUGAAAGAGGGUAAACCACGGAAGAGGGAUUCUGAAACUCCAAUGUAAACAUAAGCACUUUAAUGAGUCUUUUGCUUGUUUUGUUUUCCCUACAGGACAGUGUAGUAACCUGAAAGUCCCAGAAGUGCCAGUAGCAGACUGAUUUAUUUCUGAGUUAUCUUUCUGGAGGAAUAUGUCACAUUACUAAAAAGAGUGAUAGGAAGCAUUAUUAUGUCUCUCCCGAAAACGCCAACCUCACCGUUAAAGUCCCCACCAUCUUAUGACCCUAGGAAGUCAAAAGUAUCUGCCGUCAAGGAGACAAGAGGGUACGCUUCCACGUGCUGUAGACCAUGUCUGGCAGCACCCGAUUCGAAGGAAUAAAUUCAAAUACCUGAUUGACCAUCCUGACUCCCUAACAGGAGCUGCAAGGGAUAUUUCUUUUCUGUAUGAUGUUAAAUAUGUAAAAGAAGAGACUAGAGAGAAUGCAAUUUGUCCCCCACAUUUGGACCAUGCAUUACAAUCCAAAGAUGAUCACAAGAAACAUGAUGGUGUCCUCCUGUCUCACAAGCAAAUAUACUACUCUUCUCACGGAUAGUGAAAACAGGCUAUUGCUCUUCCCAUCCAUGAAACGUAAUAGAAGAGUGGAAGUGGUCCAACUGAGUGAAGUGAUGAACACUAUGCUAGAGAGGGCUGGUGUAGAAAAUGAGGAAUAUGCAGGACCAACCAANNNNNNNNNNNNNNNNNNNNNNNNNNNNNNNNNNNNNNNNNNNNNNNNNNNNNNNNNNNNNNNNNNNNNNNNNNNNNNNNNNNNNNNNNNNNNNNNNNNNUGUGUGUGGAAGGAACCCUCCUACAUUGUUGGUGGGAAUGUAAACUAGCACAACCACUAUGGAAAUAAGUAUGGAAUUCCCCAAAGAAUUAGAAAUUUCAUUUGAUCCAGCUUUCCCCUUCUAGAUAUCCUUCAGAAAGUGUUAAAGAUAUAAUAUUAUAAUGCUACAUGCAUACCCAUGUUGAUAGCAUCACAACUCAUAACAGCUAAAUCUUGAAAGUGGCCUGUAUGUCCACAAACAGAUGAAUGGAUAAAGAAAAAGUGGUGUAUACACAUAAUGGAGUACUAUUCAAGCAUAAAUAAGGAUAAAUUUGAGUCAUUUGUAGGAAAAUAAUCUUGAGACCAUAAUCUUAAGUGAAAUCUGACUCACAAGAUCAAAUAUCACAUGGUUUUUCUUAUAUGUAUAAUCCAAAGUAUAAAUAAUUCAGAAGAAAAUAAAUGAUAGCUUAUAGGAAACAAGAAGCAAAUGGGAAGGGAUGUAGGGAAGAGGGGGAGGGGGAGGGGAGGGGAAAGGGAUGUAGAAGGAUUGAGGUGUGAUGUGUAUGUGUACCAGCCCUCCAAGAGGAAGAUAUUCAUUAUGUGUCACACAUGUAUACUAAUAAAAAAUACAUAGUAUCCCUUUGGGGUAGGAAUUAGGGUUUGCACAACUCAACUUUCUCAUCUAUUGAUAUAUUUAUUCUUCUCUUUUUUCAUUUUUUAAGCCAAAGAGAUUAACAGACACUUUAAUUCCUGAAGAAUUUCAUAUUGUGUCAAAUACAGGAGUUUCAGGUUUGGAGUGCUACGAUGAGUGUGUAUAUGACACACAUCAAAUACCUGACAUGUUGAAGUAUUUUCUCCUUCCCAUGCCUAGAAAAACCUGGGGACAGCACAGGUGUAUCCUGGUGUAAUGAGAAAACGCAGGGUAGCAGCCCUAAUAUAAUUUAAAAAGCUAAUGAAGACUUCAUGGUUUGGGAUUUUAGUAAUUAAAUGACUAAAUUGUUCUCUGUUCCUUUCUGCAGUUUUAAAUUUAAAUUUUAAAAACUGGGACUUUGUUCCAAAUAUUGACUGUAUCUUUUAAGUAUGGGUUGUACAUGGUCAUAACCAUGCAGACAAAGGAAAGUAGCCCUGUGAGUCAGAAUCGCAGACUGCAGACUUGUCAUCUCAUUGUCUUUGAUUUUCUGUUUAUGGGAUUGAAAAUGAGAUCUUGGUUAUAUUUUCUGAGACAACAUUUGAAUGUUUCAUAGUUUUGUUUUUCUUUUUGUUUUUUUUUUGGUACCGGGCAUCGAACUCAGGUCCUUGUGCUUGUGAGGCAGGUGGUAGGACCACUAAGCUAAAUCCCCAUCCCUGAAUGUUUCAUAGUUUAAAAAAGAACUUGGGAUUUUUGUUUGUUUUUUCUUUCUGAGACAGGAUCUCGCUAUGUAGUUUAGGCUGGCCUUGAACUCACCAAAUGCCCUUGAGCUUUUGGCAAUUCUCUUGGCUCAGCCUCUUGGGUGUUGGAAUUAUAGGCAUGUGCCACCACACCUGGCUAUAAAACAACUAGAACUUUGGACUAAGGUUUUAUAAUAAAGCAUGGAGAAGCUGCU
rnacentral:lncRNA from 1 species